CCUACGUGAGGCAGCAGUGGGGAAUAUUGCACAAUGGGGGGAACCCUGAUGCAGCGACGCCGCGUGAGUGCAGAAGUAUUUCGGUAUGUAACGCUCUGUCCGCAGGGAAGCAGAAAGACGGUACCUGACCAAGACGCCCCGGCUAACUACGUGCCAGCAGCCGCGGUAAUACGGAGGGGGCAAGCGUUAUCAGGAUUUACUGGGUGUACAGGGAGCGUAGACGGCAGGGCAAGUCUGGAGUGAAAGGCAGGGGCCCAACCCCUGGACUGCUCUGGAAACUGUCCGGCUGGAGUGCUGGAGAGGUAAGUGGAAUGCCUAGGGUAGCGGUGAAAUGCGUAGAGAGUAGGAGGAACACCAGUGGCGAAGGCGGCUGACUGGACUGUAACUGACGUUGAGGCUCGAAAGCGUGGGGAGCAAACAGGAUUAGAUACCCGAGUAGUC
rnacentral:rRNA from 1 species